GAGGAGGCUGGACGAACAGACAGCGGAAGAGGCGGGAUGAAAAGGCGGAGGAGGAGGCAUGACGCUCAAGUUUGCCAGCGGUGGAGAGUUCAACAAGAAGAUGGCGGCCUCUUGAUUAGAGUGAUGAGAGGACGAGAUCUUUGUAGAUGCAGUUUUGAGUGAUGAGGUCUGACACGGAGGCCAAGCCGUGGACGUUAAUGGCAGCAUAGAAGCUGGAGACAGCUACAGAGUUCAGACACAGAUGUGGGAGCUGUUCGGGACGCAAUGUCGAUGGCUGUCUCCCACCACGCAGCUGAUUUUGCAGACGGACUACAAGAUGUGAACAAUUGCCACCGAGUGACGGUUGUUGGUUUCAAACUAUUGCCAGAAAGGUUUAUUCUUUGGACUGGACACCUGAGAUGAACCAGAUUGUCAGUGCAUCUCAACAAGACACGCUCAGUUAGAAGAGAAAAGUGAUGGAAAAGGGAAAGACACAACCAAAGGGCCAAUUGAUAAAGUGCUGAAAA